rnacentral:rRNA from 1 species
UACAGAGGUCUCGAGCGUUAAUCGGAAUCACUGGGCUUAAAGGGUGCGUAGGCGGUUCCGUAAGUGCCUUGUGAAAUCCCAUGGCUCAACCAUGGAAUUGCUCGGUAGACUGCGGAACUUUGAGGUUGGUAGGGGUCGCUGGAACUCUAGGUGGAGCGGUGAAAUGCGUAGAUAUCUAGAGGAACGCCAAAGGUGAAGACAGGCGACUGGGCCAAUUCUGACGCUGAGGCACGAAAGCGUGGGGAGCGAACGGG